AACGCACCUUGCGCUCCUUGGUAUUCCGAGGAGCAUGCCUGUUUGAGUGUCAUGAAUUCUCAACCCUCAAUGCUUUAUUGCAUUGCUUGGGGUUGGUCCUUGGGUGCUUGCCGUAUGAAUUGUACAGCUCACCUCAAAUGUAUUAGCUGGACCCGUACUUCUUGUGUAGGUGUCCUCAACGUGAUAAAGUCAUUCGUUGAGGCGUGUGCAGGCAACUGCUCCCUUACCUUUCUGUACAAGCGUCUGCUUCUAACCCGGCGAACGACUCUUUGCAGUCUGACCCAUGACUUAAAGCUCUGGCCUCAAAUCAGGUAGGAUUACCCGCUGAACUUAA
rnacentral:misc_RNA from 1 species